AAAUUGAAGAGUUUGAUCAUGGCUCAGAUUGAACGCUGGCGGCAGGCCUAACACAUGCAAGUCGAACGGUAACAGGAAACAGCUUGCUGUUUCGCUGACGAGUGGCGGACGGGUGAGUAAUGUCUGGGAAACUGCCUGAUGGAGGGGGAUAACUACUGGAAACGGUAGCUAAUACCGCAUAAUGUCGCAAGACUAAAGAGGGGGACCUUCGGGCCUCUUGCCAUCGGAUGUGCCCAGAUGGGAUUAGCUAGUAGGUGGGGUAACGGCUCACCUAGGCGACGAUCCCUAGCUGGUCUGAGAGGAUGACCAGCCACACUGGAACUGAGACACGGUCCAGACUCCUACGGGAGGCAGCAGUGGGGAAUAUUGCACAAUGGGCGCAAGCCUGAUGCAGCCAUGCCGCGUGUAUGAAGAAGGCCUUCGGGUUGUAAAGUACUUUCAGCGGGGAGGAAGGGAGUAAAGUUAAUACCUUUACUCAUUGACGUUACCCGCAGAAGAAGCACCGGCUAACUCCGUGCCAGCAGCCGCGGUAAUACGGAGGGUGCAAGCGUUAAUCGGAAUUACUGGGCGUAAAGCGCACGCAGGCGGUUUGUUAAGUCAGAUGUGAAAUCCCCGGGCUCAACCUGGGAACUGCAUCUGAUACUGGCAAGCUUGAGUCUCGUAGAAGGGGGUAGAAUUCCAGGUGUAGCGGUGAAAUGCGUAGAGAUCUGGAGGAAUA
rnacentral:rRNA from 1 species